rnacentral:lncRNA from 9 species
CAGAUAUAAUCAAAUGCAAAAUCAUUACAUGAUUGUACCUUCUUUUUUUUUGGUCUUUUUAAGGCUGCAGCUGAGACAUAUGGAAAGUUCCCCAGCUAGGGGUCGAAUAGGAGCUGCCGCUUCUGGUCUACACCCCGGCCACGGCAACCCCACAUCCAGGCCGUGUCUGUGACCUACACCACAGCUCAUGACAAUGCCAGAUCCUUAACCCACUGAGCGAGGCCAGGGAUCAAACUCACAUCCUCAUGGAUCCUAGUUGGGUUUGCAACCCGCUGAGACACAACAGGAAGUCCCUAAAAUGAUUGUCCUUUUAACGUGAGGAUGUAAGUGGACUAGCUGUCAUGCUUUCUAGUUAGUUCUAAUAGACUUUUCAUGAGCCGGGAAGUUACAAAACAGUAGUUACAAUGACAUAUAAUUUAGUUUCAUAUUAUCUUGCACAAGAGAAAUUCUUAUAAAUUAAUUUAAAAAUACUGUGUGAAAGGGAAUGAGGUUUUGAAGGAGAAGUCUUGGGUUUGGGUUCUGGGUGGACCGUUGAACUCUUCAUCCUCAGCCAGCUCAUUGUCAUGGGCUUCCAGAGAAAUGAUCUAUUAAGAAGUGCUGCUAAGAGUAACUCUUCCAUUGAGUUGCUGAAAGAGCCUCGCGGAAAGCUAAUUUCUGUAAAAGAAUGCAGCCAGCUGCAGAGCUCAGUGCAAAUUUAGAGCUGUCAUAAAAGUAAUAGUCCUCGCUUUAAAUAGCAAUAUACAUACAUUUUUCUUUUAGAACUUUAUUCAUAAGAAAUUAAUAUGAAUAGUAAUAGUAAUUCUAUUACUCCAGUAGUAAUUCUAAUUCCUUCAGUAGUAAAACGAAGUGUAAUUUCUUUGCCUACAUUUGAUAGCAAGACAAUAAUGUUUAAGGCUUUCAUAGGUUUAAUAGAUAAUGGAGAUUAGAACUCUUUAAAAAUGAUCUCAUUUGUCCUUGAAUAAUAAAAAGACACUGCAGUCACAUUAGUAUUCCGUUGGCUUUUUUUAUUUUAUCCCAACUUUCUGAGCUAUUUCUUAAAGACUCAUUGAAUAUUUUGCCACCUCUUUGGGAACUCGCAAAAUGAUAUUUAGGGAAGGAUUCUUUUUUAGAACGUUACUAGGUAAGCAACAUGGGCAGAUGUGUUCCAGGUUCAUCCACCAUCCUGGUGACAGGUAAGGGCUCUUGGAAGAAAACCUCAGGAAGAGAUGAAAGGCCCUAUUUCUGGGGAAGGGGGCCUCUAGAAGGCAGAAGGCCCUCUUCUCAUGAAGGAAGCGCAUCUGCUGGAGGCCUGGAGAGGGGUCUUUGCCGAAGGGCAACGGGAGUCUUUGAGCAGCCGCUGGUCCAUUUCCUGUUAACACAAAGCCAUCAUUUCCCUCCUGAUGAAAGCACUUUGGAGCUCAGACUGGAUGACUUGGCGCUAAAGUCACCCUGCCUGGGAGUCUUUCUUCCCGGAUAGAGAGUGGGUUACUGAAGACCCAGGGAGAGAUGGGCUGGGGCGGUCUGCCUUCCGUGGCCUGUGCCCCUCCACCAAGGAUGAGAUUGAGGUGGGCAGGAGAGAGGAAAGAUGACGUCGCUGCUUCCUGGCCCUCUUUGAUUGGCCCCUAUGCUCCUCCAGCCUAUAACUCCUGCUGUUCUAAACGUGGGCAGUGUGGAAGACGUGAUGGUAGCUUGUCGUGACACCAGGCUCGGCUGAUGGACGGUCCACGUGCAGAGGGAACCCAUCCCAUGUGGUGUCAAACCCUAGUUUGCUGGGGAACCUUAGAGCAACGAGUAGACUUAGUGUCUUGAGCCAAAAAGCUGAAAGGCAAAAGAGAGUAAAGCUAUCAUCUCAAUGAGAAUGUCUUUCCUAAACCAUUCAGUCUUCUCAAAACAGGAUGGGUAAGAAAGUGUGUUGUGUUGCCAGCACGUGCUCAGAAACACGGUGGGGGCGUCAGACGUCCUGAGAGAGGACUACAUGGCUGGAGCAUCACACCCAUUCUCCUGGCCAGGAGUUUACAUCCAUCAGAUUGAAAAUACUGUGUCUCCAACGCAGCAUAAAGCAUGGCCAUGCAUCCUGGACCACCUUAGAAUUCGUUCUGCCCGGAAACAAUCCCUUUGUGUUUUCCAUCCCGUGGCAUGAUUCUCUGCCUGACUCUAGUUUUGGCAGAACUUUUGCUUCAGCCUGUCGUGUCGGAAUUCAGCUCAGGGCUGGGAUGUUUGCCUUCCGAGAAGUUACUGGCAAGCCCCCGCUCUUGGUUUGUUUUCAGAUUUGCUGGCUGGCUGAUCUCCAAGCUUGUCCAUCAGCCAGAAAGCAUGUAUUCUGCAAAUCACAACUGGAAAUCAUCCCUGGAGCCAGGCCAGGCUGCCCGUUUCGGAAGAUAAAGUGUGCUCCACGUGGGAAUCACAGCGACAGAAUGGAUGUGUUUUAUUUUUCAUAAUGCUUGAGCCGUAAAUGUGAGCUAACGAGAGAGAGCGCCUGUCAAAUACCUCACAGGUUAGGUGGGUAGUGGACAUGCCAAAUACAGUCCUUUCUCUUCUUCUUGUACCUCUUUUCUCCCUUCACUUUGCAAGUGAAGACGUAACGUGUUAGGGAUGGUUACCUAAAGCUUCUGAAAGGUCGUCAGUACGACACGGGGCGUGUGUGUGUGUGUGUGUGUGUGUGUGUGUGUGUGUGUAUAGGAUUACAGUGUCUAAUGGUACAUUUCCUGGGGACUAAGUUUAAGCUAUGCAAAAUGACAAGAGCAGUCUAAUGAUCACAAUGUAACACGCUGUCAAUUGAAGUGUAACUGCUUACCCUAAUGCCCCGUUGAAAGCUGAUAAGCAACUCUGCUUCGGAUACAAUGUAACGCCUAUCUUAGGACCACCUGAAGUGCAUGAGCAUCAAAGGUGGGAGCAAGGCCGAGGCCUUGAACACGUCCAUGACUCCACCACUGCUAGUAAGUACAUUUCUGAAUCCACCUCCACCAACUCCAUCAGGGCUUUAAACCCCCUUCUGCUGGAGCUUUUCCCCCGAUCUUGUAACUGAGCCGAUGCCUUAUGGGGCUCCUGGGCACACGAGCCUCGCUGUGUCCUCCAUGGCUUGUUUUUAGGAAGGAAGCCUCAGCCUCCAUGACCUCCCCUAAGUUCCAAAGGGCAGGUUUACACAGAUGCAAGUCAGGGAAGGGAGGGGAAGCAGAGACUGGAGAGGAGGAGCCUUCAAGACGCAGUGGUGCAGGAGCGCCCGUCGUGGCUCUGUGGACUCAAAGCUGACUAGCAUCCAUGAGGACGCAGGUUUGAACCUUGGCCUCUCGCAGUGGGUUAAGCAUCUGACGUUGCCAUGAGCUGUGGUGUAGGUUGCAGAUGCAGCUCAAUCUGAUGUUGCUGCAGCUGUGGCGUAGGCCGGCAGCUGCAGCGCCAAUUCAACCCCGAGCCUGGGAGCUUCCAUAUGCUGCAGGGUCAGCCCUAAAAAGCCAAAAAAGAAAAAAAA